UACGUAGGGUGCAAGCGUUGUCCGGAAUUAUUGGGCGUAAAGAGCUCGUAGGCGGUUCGUCGCGUCGGCUGUGAAAACCCGGAGCUCAACUCCGGGCCUGCAGUCGAUACGGGCGGACUCGAGUUCGGCAGGGGAGACUGGAAUUCCUGGUGUAGCGGUGAAAUGCGCAGAUAUCGGGAGGAACACCGGUGGCGAAGGCGGUUCUCUGGGCCUGUACUGACGCUGAGGAGCGAAAGCGUGGGGAGCGAACAGG
rnacentral:rRNA from 1 species